rnacentral:rRNA from 1 species
GGACUACCGGGGUUUCUAAUCCUGUUUGCUCCCCACGCUUUCGUGUCUCAGUGUCAGUAUCUAUCCAGAUAGUCGCCUUCGCCACUGGUGUUCCUUCCAAUAUCUACGCAUUUCACCGCUACACUGGAAAUUCCACUAUCCUCUACAGUACUCUAGUCCAACAGUCUUAAACGCAGUUCCAAGGUUAAGCCCUGGGAUUUCACAUCUAACUUAUUAAACCACCUACACACGCUUUACGCCCAGUCAUUCCGAUUAACGCUUGCACCCUCUGUAUUACCGCGGCUGCUGGCAC